rnacentral:tRNA from 1 species
GCCCCCAUAGUUAAAUCGGAUAUAAUAGACCCCUCCUAAGGGUCAGUAACUGGUUCGAAUCCGGUUGGGGGUGCCA